CUAGCAAUUGGGAUGUAGCUACUUCUAUGGCUCAUUCAGUCGCUUCUCGGGAAACCAAAGCUUUUGGGCUCCGGGGGAAGUAUGGUCGCAAAGCUGAAACUUAAAGGAAUUGACGGAAGGGCACCACCAGGAGUGGAGCCUGCGGCUUAAUUUGACUCAACACGGGAAAACUUACCCGGCCCGGACACUGGAAGGAUUGACAGAUUGAGAGCUCUUUCUUGAUUCAGUGGGUGGUGGUGCAUGGCCGUUCUUAGUUGGUGGAGCGAUUUGUCUGGUUAAUUCCGAUAACGAACAAGACUCUAGCCUACUAAAUAGACUGUUCAGCUUUAUAGUCGGAAUCACCGGGCACGUAGCUUUCGGGUUGCGUGUUCGGCUCUGGUGACGUUGGCAGUGCUUCUUAGAGGGACAGGCGGCGGUUCAGCCGCACGAAACAGAGCAAUAACAGGUCUGUGAUGCCCUUAGAUGUCCGGGGCUGCACGCGCGCUACACUGAAGUGAUCAGCGUGCAAUUUACGUUUGGUGAUCUGUCAAGAUUGCCCAACCCGUUGAACCUUCUUCGUGAUUGGGAUAGGGGAUUGUAAUUAUUCCCCUUGAACGAGGAAUUCCCAGUAAGCGCAAGUCAUAAGCUUGCGUUGAUUACGUCCCUGCCCUUUGUACACACCGCCCG
rnacentral:rRNA from 1 species